GCCUAACACAUGCAAGUCGAACGAACUCUUCGGAGUUAGUGGCGCACGGGUGCGUAACGCGUGGGAAUCUGCCCUUGGGUACGGAAUAACUCAGAGAAAUUUGUGCUAAUACCGUAUAAUGUCUUCGGACCAAAGAUUUAUCGCCCAAGGAUGAGCCCGCGUAAGAUUAGCUAGUUGGUGAGGUAAAAGCUCACCAAGGCGACGAUCUUUAGCUGGUCUGAGAGGACGAUCAGCCACACUGGGACUGAGACACGGCCCAGACUCC
rnacentral:rRNA from 1 species